UACGGAGGGUGCAAGCGUUAUCCGGAUUUACUGGGUUUAAAGGGUGCGUAGGUGGGUAGGUAAGUCAGUGGUGAAAUCUUCGAGCUUAACUCGGAAACUGCCAUUGAUACUAUUUAUCUUGAAUACUCUGGAGGUAAGCGGAAUAUGUCAUGUAGCGGUGAAAUGCUUAGAUAUGACAUAGAACACCAAUUGCGAAGGCAGCUCACUACACGAAUAUUGACACUGAGGCACGAAAGCGUGGGGAUCAAACAGG
rnacentral:rRNA from 1 species